GAUGAACGCUGGCGGCGUGCCUAAUACAUGCAAGUCGAGCGAACAGACGAGGAGCUUGCUCCUCUGACGUUAGCGGCGGACGGGUGAGUAACACGUGGAUAACCUACCUAUAAGACUGGGAUAACUUCGGGAAACCGGAGCUAAUACCGGAUAAUAUAUUGAACCGUAUGGUUCAAUAGUGAAAGACGGUUUUGCUGUCACUUAUAGAUGGAUCCGGGCGGCAUUAGAUAGUUGGUAAGGUAACGGCUUACCAAGGCAACGAUGCGUAGCCGACGGGAGAGGGUGAUCGGCCACACGGGAACGGAGACACGGACCAGACGCCUACGGGAGGCAGCAGUAGGGAAUCUUCCGCAAUGGGCGAAAGCCUGACGGAGCAACGCCGCGUGAGUGAUGAAGGUCUUCGGAUCGUAAAACUCUGUUAUUAGGGAAGAACAAAUGUGUAAGUAACUAUGCACGUCUUGACGGUACCUAAUCAGAAAGCCACGGCUAACUACGUG
rnacentral:rRNA from 1 species